UCUCCAUGUAGAGCUGAGGGACAGCUUGUGCCUUUUCAUUCGACAUCAUCCUGAUGUUCAGGUCUUUGAAAGCAUCGUCGAAAGAAAUACUCUUUUUAAUGCCUGUAAUCCCAAAGACGAACAUCUGGAGAAUGCCAUUGGGACUUCUGGAAUAUGGAAGGAAGCAGUGUCUAUGCAGCCAUUCUCGAUAAAAAGCUCUUUAGCCUGCGACAUCAUGGUCUCAGAAGCUUUGCAGAGUGCCGCAGCUUUUUCCAAAUUCGAAU